rnacentral:rRNA from 1 species
AUGGACGCCGCUAAGCCUGAUCUGCCGCAGGAGCUGGAGGGGCACGAUGACAACGAUGGCAUCAUCAUGGAGAAGACGAGCACCGACGAGACGUCGUCGGGCGAGCCAGUCCGCAACUACCGGGGAUGGAAGGCCAUGCCAUAUGUCAUAGGGAAUGAGACGUUCGAGAAGCUUGGCACGCUCGGGACACUAUGGAACUUGCUGGUCUACCUGACGACAGUGUACCACAUAAAAAGCGUCAACGCCGCCACCAUACUCAACUUCUUCUCCGGCACCAGCAACCUCGCCACCAUCCUAGGCGCAUUCAUCAGCGACACCUACCUUGGCCGCUACACCACCCUGGCCGCUGCCACCAUCGCAUCAUUCAUCGGCAUGGUCCUGCUCACCCUCACUGCCGCGCUCCACUCCCUCCACCCUCCUGCAUGCACUUCCGAAGGACAAUGUGAGGGUCCCACCCCCUCCCAGCUUGCUGCGCUCAUGGUAUCCUUCUUCUUCCUCGUUGUCGGCGCUGGCGGCAUCCGCCCUUGCAACCUGGCAUUCGGGGCCGACCAGUUCAACCCACGUACCGCCGAUGGCCGCCGAGGCAUCGCCAGCUUCUUCAACUGGUACUACUUCACCUUCACUAUUGCCAUGAUGCUCUCUGCCACCGUCAUCAUCUACCUCCAGAGCGACGUCAACUGGGCGCUGGGCCUCGCAGUGCCUGCCGUGCUCAUGGGCCUUUCCUGCGUUCUCUUCUUCAUGGGCACACGCCUCUAUGUCUGCGUUCGCCCCGAGGGCAGCCCGUUCACCAGCUUCGCACAGGUCCUCAUCGCCGCCACCCGCAAACGCCGCCUCCGGCGAUCUCACAAUACUUUCGAGUUUUUUGACCCGCCACACCAGAGCAAGCUCGUCUCCAAGUUGGCCUACACCGACCAGUUCACAUGCCUUGACAAGGCCGCCAUGCGAACCACCAAGGAUGUACUUUGCUCUGAUGAGAAGACGUCGGCGAACCCGUGGCGGCUAUGCACGGUGCAGCAGGUGGAGGAGGUGAAGUGCCUGGCACGCAUCAUCCCGGUGUGGUUGUCGGGUAUUGUCUACUUCGUGGUGAUCACCCAGCUAGGCACCUACGUCGUGUUCCAGGCGGCGCAGACUGACCGCCGGAUCAUCAAGUCUGCCAGCUUCCAGAUCCCGCAGGGCUCCUUCAUCGUCUUUCAAAUGCUUGCCCUCACGGUCUGGAUCCCGGUGUAUGACCGAGUGAUGGUGCCGACACUUUUUCGCUUCACCAAGCGUGAGGGCGGCAUCACUUUGCUCCAGCGGAUCGGCAUCGGGUUGGUGCUCUCCGUGGUGACGAUGCUGGUGUCGGCAGCCGUGGAGCACCGUCGGCGCCGGACGGCUAUGAUGUCAUGCUUUUGGCUAGUACCGCAACAACUGUUGGCCGGACUGUCGGAGGCAUUUACCGCCAUCGGGCUGAUCGAGUUCUACUACCGACAGUUCCCGGAGAACAUGCGAAGUGUAGCGGGGGCAUUCUUCUUCCUGGGGCUCGGGCUGGCAAGCUUCGCAAGCGGGCUCAUGGUGAUUGCGGUGCACCGGGCGACGAGCAGACGGGACGGGCGGCCGGACUGGCUGGCGCAGGACCUAGACGAGGGGAGGGUGGACCUAUUCUACCUGGUCACGGCUGCCAUCGCCGCCGUCAAUCUCAUCUAUUUUGUGGCCUGCUCGUGGUGGUACAGGUUCAAGAAGUCCGACGGUGACGUCAACGCUGGCAAUGAUGUCGAGCUUGAUGAAAGCUCAAAGAUUGCCGUGAAUCCGGCGCCGGUUUAG